CGGGGGGGCAAGCGUUGUUCGGAAUUACUGGGCGUAAAGGGCCCGUAGGUGGCCAACUAAGUCGGACGUGAAAUCCCUCGGCUUAACCGGGGAACUGCGUCCGAUACUGGUUGGCUUGAGUUUGGGAGAGGGAUGCGGAAUUCCAGGUGUAGCGGUGAAAUGCGUAGAUAUCUGGAGGAACACCGGUGGCGAAGGCGGCAUCCUGGACCAAUACUGACGCUGAGGAGCGAAAGCCAGGGGAGCAAACGGGAUUAGAUACCCCGGUAGUCCUGGCCCUAAACGAUGAAUGCUUGGUGUGGCGGGUAUCGAUCCCUGCCGUGCCGAAGCUAACGCAUUAAGCAUUCCGCCUGGGGAGUACGGUCGCAAGGCUG
rnacentral:rRNA from 1 species